ensembl:lncRNA
UGUGUCCAUCUGCUCAUCCAAUCAGAAUUUAGUGUUGGAACUAUCCAGAUUAUAUGUUUUUUUUUUUCCUCUCUGUGUCUUAAACUUGGAUAUACUGUCCCCAUAAUGUUCCCCUCACUCUCCCCUACAUUAUUUUGCAUUUACAUUAUAUUAUACUCUAUUGCAGAUUCACCAUCUGAUGCAAACACUCCACUAAUGAGGCUGAUUCUGUGCUGAUGAAAGUGGCAAACAAGGACGGCCGUGUGGAUUUGCCCAAUAGUGCUUCGGUCAAUGUCUUCUGCCUGUUCGUGCUGAUUCAGCCGUUGUGUUUGAUUAUUGGUGGAUACACAGGGAUGGCCACAUAUUUGAUUUCUGCAUACAUAUCCUACAACGCCCUGCCCUGGAAAAAGCCGUCAGCUGAUCAGCAGGAGGAUACGGAGAAAAAAAAGAAGAAAAAGAAGACAAAGACUAAUUAAGACACUCUUAAUUGAGACUUCAAACAACAGCUUUGCGUAGGCGGGAACAAUUUGCAAAUGCGAAGCCAUGUGCUAGAUCUCAAGCGUUUUGCAAGAUCGCUGUAUUUUAAUGAAGAGGAUAAUGAUUACUUUACUAUAAGGAAAAGGCUUUGCAUUCCUUGCAUGUGUAUCUGGAUGUUCAUUGUUGUUUUUUUCCUCUCAGCUGUAAAUUUCAACCUUUGGUCUAAAGACAUUUGGAAAGCAGAAUCUCUGUUUACUUAAGGAGAAACAGGAAGAAGGUAUCAUGAUGAACAGUCGUGAGUGCUGGUUCCAGUUUGUGUCUUGUUGAUCGACAGCAGUGGAUCGAUGGACUGGCUGCCUCUUUAAAUGCCACUUUCACAAUGUAGUUACACGCCAGCCUGUAAAGGCUCGCUCCUAACAAAAAGUGGUUUUAAUUUGGAACAAACUGAUGACUUUGAUUUCUGUUCAAACUGCAAAAAAAUGUUUCCAUAUCUGACUUUAGCUACUCGUAUAUCAUGUAUAUAAUUCAAGGUUGAUCAUGAACAGUUUGCUCCCUGUAUAAUUCAUGCUUUGGUGCACAUCAUUUAAAAUCUGUUUGUUUUUCUUCUCUAUGAAUCUAUGAAUGUGCCAGAAUGAACUAGAAUUAUAUGCUAAAUUAAAAAGACAGAUUGGAUUUUUAGAUGCACAUAAAAGUUUAAUAUACAUAAAAUACAUAAUAUGCAUAAUAUGUUUAAUAUAUUUUAAUACAUAAUAUUUCAACUUUUAAGUUUCACCUGUGUAUGUUGUACUUUAUUAUUAAUAUAAUAAAAAAAUAAAAAAAUGGAAAAGCACAAGCAGUUUCCGCAAAAACCAGUUCUGGAAUUGCGUAAUUAUAACUUCCACUUAUAUUUGUAAUUCCAUAACUAUUUUGUGCCAACUGCUUACUACUUUAAACUUUUUUCAUAUUUUUAUUAUAUAAUAGAAAUGCAUUAUAUCAUACAUACAUAUGUAAUUUAAAACAUUUAAUAAGGUUUUUUUAUUAUUUCCUAUUUUAUUAUACUUUAAAAUAAAAUAAAAUAAAAUAAAAUAAUAAGAAAUGCACUGAAAAUUUCUCUUCAUUUUCCCAAAUGGAAUAAAUAAAUCUGGUAAUGCUCCAGCAUAUGACAUGUUGCCAUCCAUCUCUAUUGUUUGCAUCACAUGACCUGAAAUUAAAGGUAACCAUAGGUAAACUGCACAUAUGUGUGAUGCGGGUUGGUGUAAGUGUUGUGAAGGUAUAGUUUUUUUUUUAUCUUAUAUUGUUUUUAUCCAAAUCUCUCCUCCACUCUGCUCUCCUCUAUCGCCGUUUGUCUCUCUCUAACACUUUUUCACACUUUUACACAUUUUUUUUUUUUGUACUCUCAGCCUGCAGCUUUGUUUUCAGUAGAGAAGUCUCUUGCAAACUGUGUAAAAGCGGGUCAUCACAGUCUAGUGCAGAGCAGAGACAACGGUCCCCCUGCGGUGAGCUCAAUGAGCCCUGGCCUCUCCGCACCCAGCGAUCACAGUGCAGCCACCUCUGACAAUCUCUCAUUAUCACCCCUCGGCAGACUCCGCAGGAAGCAGCGGUGCCCCUGAGAGCACGGGGAGUGAAGACCACCUCAGCACCGCAGCUCGAAGGGUUCAGAACCGUGGCCAAUGGGUGGGCCGCCAAAAAAUGGCAGAUGUGUCUCAGCAAGAUACACAGAGAUGAAUGAAAGGCUUGUGCUAAUGUCUGACUGCAUGUGUCAUGUCUCCUCCGGAGCAUAUUAAGCAUUUUCUGGCAAGCCUAAUAGUCGUAGACUAAAGUCACACCAUUUAAGCAUAUAAUGGCUUAAUAGACUAGUUUUCCACCUUAUUUAGUUACCCAUAUGUCAUUCCAAACUCAUUUCUUUAAUUUAUAAAUCUCAAAAUGAUUGACUCUUUUCCACAUAAUGAAUGUGAAUGGAGACUGUGCCUGCCAAGCUCUAACAUGGAAUACUUUUAGGACAUUUUACAGGUGAUUUUAUUGUCGUGACUCAUGUCCCAAACCUUCAGAAGCUGAACAAUAUCUUUGUGUGGCGAAUUGAAAGAUUUAAAGUGUCAUUCACUGAAAAUUUUGCCCUCUGCAUUGUUUCAAAAAUGGCAUCAUGUGGCAAUAUUUUUAAUAGUUUUAGUCAAUGACCACUUAAAUUUCGGUCUGUUUCAGUGUUAAUCUCAUCAACAAGUUCCUCUGGGUUACACCGUGGAAAGCAAGUCAUAUGGGUUUGGACAGAAGAUAUUACAUUGAGAAAGGGAGGGUGUGAUGGAAGAUGUUCGUGAACGGUCUAAAAGAAUCCAUAUCGCCUCAGUCACACGUUGAUGCCACUCGUCCAUCAUCAUCCUACAGUCCUCCCGAGGAAAGGAAGACAAGCACAGCCUCAGCAGUUAAUGAUGGCGAUU